GCGCCAUCGCACAUCGGUGAUUAUCCGGCGGAGUACAACCCGAAGGUCCACGGACUUUACGAUCACGGA
rfam:Aedes aegypti strain Liverpool supercont1.10 genomic scaffold, whole genome shotgun sequence.